GAUGAACGCUGGCGGCGUGCCUAAUACAUGCAAGUCGAGCGAACAGACGAGGAGCUUGCUCCUCUGACGUUAGCGGCGGACGGGUGAGUAACACGUGGAUAACCUACCUAUAAGACUGGGAUAACUUCGGGAAACCGGAGCUAAUACCGGAUAAUAUAUUGAACCGCAUGGUUCAAUAGUGAAAGACGGUUUUGCUGUCACUUAUAGAUGGAUCCGCGCCGCAUUAGCGAGUUGGUAAGGUAACGGCUUACCAAGGCAACGAUGCGUAGCCGACCUGAGAGGGUGAUCGGCCACACUGGAACUGAGACACGGUCCAGACUCCUACGGGAGGCAGCAGUAGGGAAUCUUCCGCAAUGGGCGAAAGCCUGCCGGAGCAACGCCGCGUGAGUGAUGAAGGUCUUCGGAUCGUAAAACUCUGUUAUUAGGGAAGAACAAAUGUGUAAGUAACUAUGCACGUCUUGACGGUACCUAAUCAGAAAGCCACGGCUAACUACGUG
rnacentral:rRNA from 1 species